rnacentral:hammerhead_ribozyme from 1 species
GUACUGCUGAAGAGUCCCAAACUACUACGAAACAGCUGUCCAGUAC